rnacentral:lncRNA from 1 species
UAAGACCUGGUAGCUUGUUAAACUGCUUGUUCCAUUCCUGAUAUAUCCAAAGUACACUAGAGCACACCCUCCUUCAGCAACUCCUCAGCAAAGAACGCUAAUGAGCUCACAUAGGCUUUUGGUAAAUGAAUGCUAACUUUGUGUUAGUGAAAAUGGAUCUUUGUGAUAGGAUCUGGGUAGGGAAGUAAGCAAAGAAUUUUUGUCUUGGUUUUGUUUGAUUCUUCUUUCUCUCUUUUGCCCUGGAUGGACCAGAGCUCACUUUGUAGGCCAGGCUGGUAUUCUUCCCUCCCCUGCCUCCCAAGUUCUCUGAUAAACCACCGUGCCUAGCAAUGUUUAUUUUUAUCUUUUGCUUUUUAUCAAGAUUUCAAAUUCAGUCUUCCUACUCAUGAGUGUUGGGGUUAAUGUUGUGGGACACUGUGCCUGGCACAUAAUUAGUCAUAAACUAUUGGAUAUCAUUGGAGAGCAUGCAGCAAAUAAAGAGUCUUAGAUAUUGGACUAAGAGAUGCCUGUGACCCCGCGCUCCCUUGAGGAAGUCCAGUGCUCCCUUGUGAAGACAUGUGCCUGCCUAGUCCCCCUAGUUGAUCUCCCGUGGCCCUCGCUUACACAGUCUGUAUGCCGUGAUUUAGGAGGUGUUUGUUGUGGAGUAGUGCUAGGAUGAAGCCCCACCCUUGCCUGUGCUAGGUCAGCAUUCUCCCAGUGACCUAGACCCCGGCCUGUUGCUGUUAUCUGCUGUCCUCCUACAAGAGACACAACAUUACUCGUAAUAUUUGACAGGCUUAAUCUUAAAAAUUGCUGAAAAUGUAAUGAGUUUUCUUUUGAAUUAAUUCUGAGUACCCACAUUGCCAUUGAAAUACUUGUGAAAUCAUAAUGGAAAGCCCUUGCCUAGUACUUGUGUCUUCUAGUGUCUGGCCCAGUCGCUUAUUUUGGCAUCUUAGACGCCACAAGGGUAGAGAACCCAUGUUUACAACUGUGAACGGCAGUGGGAGCAACUCUUUCAUUCCCAAGUCCCAGCACAGACCAUAGUCAGGGUUUCCUUAAACCACUGGCAGCGCUUCCCAGGUCUACUUUGGAUUCUGAAUCCUACUAGUAUGAGAUUCCUGGCUUCAGAGUAUCAGUGAACAUGUUGCGGAAGGGUCUUCAUUCUGCAUUAGCAGGAGCCUUCUCAUUGGUUUUAUAGUUACCUUCUUCCUAGGCUUCACCAGUAGUUAGUUUCUGGUAGUUUGCUGAGGGUAAAGUAAACCACAGAUGAGACUCUGCAUCUUUUCCAGCCAGGGAAUCUGUGAGCUUAGGAAUCCUUUACAAAUGGCAGUAUUUUAUCCAGUCACCAAUGCCAUGGAAUAACAAAACUAUUGUUCCCCAUUGAAAAGGAAGGUGGUGCCAUCUAUCACAUAUACCACCAGCCAUGAUACACCCCUCCUAAAGAGCAGUUUGAUGUUAUGUAAUGCAGUCAUAGUCCUGGAACUUGUUUGUGUAUGAUAGAAUCUCCUAGAAUAAACAUAGAAAAAAAUUAAAAGUUUAUUUAGCUUAAGAUCAAAAUACCGUCAGUAGGGCUGGGGAGUUAGCUCAGUGGGUUGGAAUAUGGAAGGUGGAAAUGGGAAAAUCACCCAGAAGCUCACGGGCCCGAUAGAUCUGCUGGAGUGCACAGGCCAGCAGCAGAAACCAAGAGAGACUGUCUCAAACAAAUUCCUAAAAAGAUGUCUUAUGUACGCAAUGUGGCACAAACAUGUACAUACAUAUACAUUCAGAUUAAACAUUUAAAAUAUGGCCAGUUUAAUUCAACAAAACUACUUGCAAAAUGUAAUUUAAAAAUAUCACUUAUGGUAGCAUAUACCUUAAAUGUUAUCACAAAAUGUUUUUAAAAUACCCUUUAUAGCCAGAUGGUAGUGGCACACACCUUAGAUCCCAGUGCCUGGGAGGCAGGGGCAGUUGGAUCUCUACAGAUCAAGUUCCAGGACAGCCAGGGCUGUUAACAUGGAAACCUUGUCUCAAACAACAACAAGAAGACAUUUACAGUAACAAAAUAGGAAGCACAUGGGGUGUUUAGGAACAAAUUCUCAGAUGGACAAGUUAACUGUACUCAGUGCAGAAAGUUAAAAGGCUCAGUGUUAGUUUAGUUCUCUUAUAGUUUUAAUGUUAAGUGAAAUUCCAGUCAAAACUUCCUUCUCUCCCCAACUUCUUUUUGAGUCAGGGUCUUUCUGUAU